UACGUAGGGUGCAAGCGUUAAUCGGAAUUACUGGGCGUAAAGCGUGCGCAGGCGGUCCGUUAAGUCAGAUGUGAAAUCCCCGGGCUUAACCUGGGAACUGCAUUUGAGACUGGCGGACUCGAGUAUGGCAGAGGGGGGUAGAAUUCCACGUGUAGCAGUGAAAUGCGUAGAGAUGUGGAGGAAUACCGAUGGCGAAGGCAGCCCCCUGGGCCAAUACUGACGCUCAGGCACGAAAGCGUGGGGAGCAAACAGG
rnacentral:rRNA from 1 species